ensembl:lncRNA
AUGACUGAGCCAGGCAGCUCCACCAGCUCUCUGGGUGCCUCUCCCUCUUCCGUAAGGCGGACAGGCCAGACCUGUGAAGCCGUCGUGAACUUGGAGGGAAAGUCCGUGUCAGAUCUGCUCCUUUCCCCAGAGGGCCGGCAAGACCCCGCACACUCUGGCCCUGCUCUCCCUGACAUAACGGUCCCCAGACCAGGCGGGAGGAGCAAGCCCAGACCCCAAGAUCCCGCAGCUGCGCACCUUGGGCUUAGCCUCCUCACCCGUUUCUGCAGGCGCCCUGGCUUCCCCAGAGGUGUUACUAGUUUGAACAAACCUCCCUCUUCAGAUGCUUUGUCUUAUGCUGCUCUGAAGCUUUUGCUGCUGGACACUGGCCUGAGUGCAGCCUCCUGGAGAUGGUUCCCUUGUGAAAAGAUGUUAUCUUGGGACCAGAGGAUUCUAAUGUGUCAGUUCUUCAAGCAUCUUGUACAUCAGACAGUCAGCCCUUCUCCUGUCAUGUUUCCCAUUGGAGACGAAGAGAUGUACCCCUGAUCCCCGCGUGAUGACUUCUCUUCCGAAAGGCUGCCUCUACCCCUUUGCUUGGGUUUUCUGAGAACUGCGAGAGUAUCUUUUGUGUGUGUGUGUUUGUAUUUUUUUAAGUAUAGUUGAUCGACGAUGUGGUGCCAGUGUCUGCUGUACAGCAAGCUGACCCAGUCAUACGUAUACACACAUUCUUUCUCUCGUGUCACCCCCAUCACCGUCUGUCCCGAGAGACUGGGUACAGUUCCCUGUGCUUAUGGCAGGACUUCAUUCCCCAUCCAUUCUAAAUGUAACAGUUUGCAUCUACUAACCUCAAACUCCCAGUCCAUCCCACUAUGUGUGAGCACCUUGAAUGCCACUAGAAUUCACAUCUUCUUACACAAGCUGACACCCGAGUCCCUGUGAGAACUCCACCGAUCAUCCCUCAAGCUCCAAAGGGGCUUCAAGAUGCCCCUGAAUGUCAGGGAAGGGACCCCAGGGCCCAGCACAGAGAUGUGGGCAGCAGGCAGUCUUCUGAUGGGCUGAAGCUUGGUGCUCAGCGUGCCAUCUCUUGGGCCACCCUGACUCCCGUGCAUUGCACUCAUUCCCAUAGAUGGGCAAAGGCUGAGGCCAGUCAGGGCUGAGGAAGGUCAAGCAGCACUUUGGGAAGAUGGGCCCUGCUGGGCCAACCUGUGGCGAAGGGGUGUGGAGGGUUCGCUUCUUAACCGGCAAGAUCCUCUCUGUAACUAACGAAAUGCAACAAUGUAUUAAAAACAAUACAGCAUGACCAAAGGAGCUUUGAAACACAAAUGCAGGGAUGGUUCAAUAGAUUAAAGAAAUUUCAAAACCUAGGAGUUCCUGUUGUGGUUCAGAGGUAAUGAAACCUCCUCGUAUCCGUGAGCACAUGGAUUCAAACCCUGGCCUCGCUCAGUGGAUUGAGGAUCCUGCAUUGCUGUGGGCUGUGGUGUAGGUCACAGAUGCGGCUCGGAUCAUGAGUUGCCGUGGCUGUGGUGCAGGCCGGCAGCAGAAGCUCCGAUUUGACCCCUAGCCUGGGAACUUCCAUAUGUCACACAAGUGCCCCUACAAAAAAGCAAAAGAAAAAAUAUUUUAAAACCUGUUUGUGAUUUAUAAAAUAUCUCUUAACAAACUUGGAAUGGAAGUGAAGUUCAAUAACAUGAUAAAGUUCACAAUCAAUAUGAGAUACCACCUCACACCAGUCAGAAUGGCCAACGUCAAUACGUUCACAAAUAACAAAUGCUGGAGAGGGUGUGGAGAAAAGGGAGCCCUCCUGCACGGUUGGUGGGAAUGUCAAUUGGUGCAUCCACUAUGAAAAACUGUAUGGAGGUACCUCAGAAAACUAAAUAUAGAACUACCAUAUGACCCAGCAAUCCCACUUCUGGGCAUAUAUCUGGACAAAACUUUCCUUGAAAAAGACACAUGCACCCAUAUGUUCAUUGCAGCACUAUUCACAAUAGCCAAGACAUGGAAACAACCUAAAUGUCAGACAGACGACUGGAUUAAGAAGAUAUGGUACAUGUACACAAUGGAAUACUACUCAGCCAUAAAAAAGAACAAAAUAAUGCCAUUUGCAGCAACAUGGAUGGAACUAGAGACUCUCAUGCUAAGAGAAGUAAGUCAGAAAGAGAAAGACAAAUAACAUAUGAUAUCACUUAUAUCUGGAAUCUAAUAUAUGACACAAAUGAACCUUUCCACAGAAAAUAAAUUCAUGGACUUGGAGAACA